UACGGGGGGGGGCAAGCGUUGUUCGGAAUUACUGGGCGUAAAGGGUGCGUAGGCGGUUCUCUAAGUCGGAUGUGAAAACUCUGGGCUCAACCCAGAGCCUGCAUCCGAAACUGGAGGACUAGGGUUCUGGAGGGGAAAGCGGAAUUCCUGGUGUAGCGGUGAAAUGCGUAGAUAUCAGGAGGAACACCGGUGGCGAAGGCGGCUUCUGGACAGAUACCGACGCUGAGGCACGAAAGCUAGGGGAGCAAACAGG
rnacentral:rRNA from 1 species